UAACACGUGUGUUGCUCAGCUUCUGCCGUUCCAUGUGUCGUGCUCUGUUACUCUGCCUUGCUCGCAGCCGCAGAGCAGGGGGAACGCUGCCAAGGCUUUUUCUGGGAAUUUGCUCUGGUCGUGCUACUUCCCCGGGAGCACUCAACGGAUGCAUGUUGUUUGCAGUGGGGGGGAAAUACUCAAAUGUCAGCAUCUGAAGCGAUCACGAAGGAAGCAAGGCGAGCACCAGCUACUCUUCCACCUCUUAGAGGUGCCUGCAUGCACAUAGCCUUGAUCUGGAGUGUUUUACCAAUUAUCUUCAUAUCCAAAACCUGAAGAUAUACAGUGGGAAAGCCCUUUUUUGUCUAGUACAUGCAUGUGAGCCUUUUGUACCAGAUUGGUCAUAGCAGCUGCAGAGCUCUUCCCCAGAUCCACAAACCCACAGGACUGGUAAUGGAGUGCUCCCUUAUUGUAAGGGAAAGAGCUGUCUGUAAGGCUGUUUGGGAGACACAGGAAGGAGUGAAGCAAGAAAGCAGCUGGCCUCACUGCGCUGAAACACCCAAAUUGGACCCUUGGGGGCUGGAUUGGUGCACAGACUAA
rnacentral:lncRNA from 1 species